CGCACCCCAUACUGUAUACACAAACGGAGGGAAGAGAAAUCCUAGCAGUUCUCUUGAUUCCAUUUCACUGUCGAAACGAUACUGGAGCACUUUUUUUGCACAUACCUAAAGGAAAAUCCCAAAUAACGAGCACCUAGCGACUUUGUUUAAGUGCAAUAGAGGAACUGUACGAGACAGUUUGCCCGUACACGGUGCGUUGCGGAGGGAUUUAGAAAUAAAAACCCAGUGUUGUGCAGUUGCAUUCCCUACCACUUCACUUGCGCUGGAUACGGGGAGGCUUUGACUUUUUUCAUCCCAGUUUCUGUCUCAAAACAACCGUAUUCUCGUCUAAAUCUGCUGAAGAACCUGACGGGGUCUGCGUUUUCAAACCAGAUGGCCCAGCUGCGUGACAGUAUUCACCUGGGUGACUGAUCUUAUCCGGUCCAGUCCAUUCGUCAGUCCCAGGGCCAGCACAGGGGGGUCGCUCCGGAGGCCAGAGCCCAUCCGGACCGGGACCCUGUGAUGUCGCACUGAC
ensembl:lncRNA